rnacentral:rRNA from 1 species
CCCUUAGAUGUUCUGGGCUGCACGCGCGCUACACUGAUGCAUGCAACGAGUUUUCGACCUUGCCUGAAAAGGUUGGGUAAUCUGUUUAACAUGUGUCGUGAUGGGGAUAGACCAUUGCAAUUUUUGGUCUUCAACGAGGAAUUCCUAGUAAACGCAAGUCAUCAACUUGCAUUGAUUACGUCCCUGCCCUUUGUACACACCGCCCGUCGCACCUACCGAUUGAAUGGUCCGGUGAAGCCUCCGGAUUGGCGCGCACCUCGGUGCCGCCGAGAAGUUGGCUAAACCUUACCAUUUAGAGGAAGGUGAAGUCGUAACA